UACAGAGGGUGCGAGCGUUAAUCGGAAUUACUGGGCGUAAAGCGUGCGUAGACGGUUAUCUAAGUCGGGUGUGAAAGCCCCGGGCUCAACCUGGGAAUUGCAUUCGAGACUGAAUAGCUAGGGUACGGUAGAGGGAAGUGGAAUUUCCGGUGUAGCGGUGAAAUGCGUAGAUAUCGGAAGGAACAUCAGUGGCGAAAGCGACUUCCUGGACCAGUACCGACGUUCAGGAACGAAAGCGUGGGGAGCAAACAGG
rnacentral:rRNA from 1 species